rnacentral:rRNA from 1 species
GACGAACGCUGGCGGCGUGCCUAAUACAUGCAAGUUGAGCGAUGAAGAUUGGUGCUUGCACCAAUUUGAAGAGCAGCGAACGGGUGAGUAACGCGUGGGGAAUCUGCCUUUGAGCGGGGGACAACAUUUGGAAACGAAUGCUAAUACCGCAUAACAACUUUAAACAUAAGUUUUAAGUUUGAAAGAUGCAAUUGCAUCACUCAAAGAUGAUCCCGCGUUGUAUUAGCUAGUUGGUGAGGUAAAGGCUCACCAAGGCGAUGAUACAUAGCCGACCUGAGAGGGUGAUCGGCCACAUUGGGACUGAGACACGGCCCAAACUCCUACGGGAGGCAGCAGUAGGGAAUCUUCGGCAAUGGACGAAAGUCUGAACGAGCAAAGCCGCGUGAGUGAAGAAGGUUUUCGGAUCGUAAAAAUCUGUUGGUAGAGAAGAACGUUGGUGAGAGUGGAAAGCUCAUCAAGUGACGGUAACUACCCAGAAAGGGACGGCUAACUACGUG